rnacentral:rRNA from 1 species
AGAACGAACGCUGGCGGCAUGCCUAAUACAUGCAAGUCGAACGAACUCUUCGGAGUUAGUGGCGCACGGGUGCGUAACGCGUGGGAAUCUGCCCCUUGGUUCGGAAUAACAGUUGGAAACGACUGCUAAUACCGGAUGAUGACGAAAGUCCAAAGAUUUAUCGCCAAGGGAUGAGCCCGCGUAGGAUUAGCUAGUUGGUGAGGUAAAGGCUCACCAAGGCAACGAUCCUUAGCUGGUCUGAGAGGAUGAUCAGCCACACUGGGACUGAGACACGGCCCAGACUCCUACGGGAGGCAGCAGUAGGGAAUAUUGGACAAUGGGCGUAAAGCCUGAUCCAGCAAUGCCGCGUGAGUGAUGAAGGCCUUAGGUUGUAAAGCUACUUUUACCCGAGAUGAUAAUGACAGUAUCGGAGAAAUAAGCCCCGGUACUAACCUCCGUAGCCAGCGACGCCGACGGUAAUCGUAGGAGGACGGCGUCGGACGAACGGCGACGAAUAGGA